GCAUUGGUGGUUCAGUGGUAGAAUUCUUGCUUUCCAUGCGGGAGACAUGGGUUCGAUUCCCAGCCAAUGCA